rnacentral:rRNA from 1 species
AUUGAACGCUGGCGGAAUGCUUUACACAUGCAAGUCGAACGGCAGCACGGGGGCAGCCCUGGAGGCGAGUGGCGAACGGGUGAGUAAUACAUCGGAACGUGCCCGGUCGUGGGGGAUAACGUAGCGAAAGUUACGCUAAUACCGCAUACGAUCUGAGGAUGAAAGCGGGGGACCUUCGGGCCUCGCGCGAUCGGAGCUGCCGAUGUCAGAUUAGGUAGUUGGUGGGGUAAAGGCCUACCAAGCCGACGAUCUGUAGCUGGUCUGAGAGGACGACCAGCCACACUGGGACUGAGACACGGCCCAGACUCCUACGGGAGGCAGCAGUGGGGAAUGUUGGACAAUGGGCGCAAGCCUGAUCCAGCCAUUCCGCGUGGAUGACGAAGGCCUUCGGGUUGUAAACUGCUUUUGUACGGAACGAAAAGGAUCUGGCUAAUACCUGGGGCUCAUGACGGUACCGGAAGAAUAAGCACCGGCUAACUACGUG